rnacentral:rRNA from 1 species
GUCCAGACUCCUACGGGAGGCAGCAGUGGGGAAUAUUGCACAAUGGGGGAAACCCUGAUGCAGCGACGCCGCGUGAGCGAUGAAGUAUUUCGGUAUGUAAAGCUCUAUCAGCAGGGAAGAAAAUGACGGUACCUGACUAAGAAGCCCCGGCUAACUACGUGCCAGCAGCCGCGGUAAUACGUAGGGGGCAAGCGUUAUCCGGAUUUACUGGGUGUAAAGGGAGCGUAGACGGCAAUGCAAGCCAGAUGUGAAAGCCCGGGGCUCAACCCCGGGACUGCAUUUGGAACUGUGUAGCUGGAGUGUCGGAGAGGCAGGCGGAAUUCCUAGUGUAGCGGUGAAAUGCGUAGAUAUUAGGAGGAACACCAGUGGCGAAGGCGGCCUGCUGGACGAUGACUGACGUUGAGGCUCGAAAGCGUGGGGAGCAAACAGGAUUAGAUACCCCGGUAACA